AGGAAUUGGCGGGGGAGCACCACAAGGGGUGAAGCCUGCGGUUCAAUUGGAGUCAACGCCGGAAAUCUUAUCGGGGGCGACAGCAGAAUGAAGGUCAAGCUGAAGACUUUACCAGACAAGCUGAGAGGAGGUGCAUGGCUGUCGCCAGCUCGUGCCGUGAGGUGUCCUGUUAAGUCAGGUAACGAGCGAGAUCCCUGCCUCUAGUUGCUACCAUUGCUCUCAGGAGUAGUGGGGCUAAUUAGAGGGACUGCCGUCGCUGAGACGGAGGAAGGAGGGGGCUACGGCAGGUCAGUAUGCCCCGAAACCCUCGGGCCACACGCGGGCUGCAAUGGUAAGGACAAUAAGUUCCUAUUCCGAAAGGAGGAGGUAAUCUCCAAACCUUACCUCAGUUAUGAUUGAGGGCUGAAACUCGCCCUCAUGAAUAUGGAAUCCCUAGUAACCGCGUGUCAUUAUCGCGCGGUGAAUACGUCCCUGCUCCUUGCACACACCGCCCGUC
rnacentral:rRNA from 1 species